rnacentral:tRNA from 1 species
UCCAGGGUAGUCUAGUGAACAUGGCAUCUGCUCGGUAAGCGGAACACUGUGUGUUUGAUUCCCAUCCCUGAAC